UGUUAUGUGGAAACAUUCUCUCAGCCCUUCCAGGAUAUCCAGUAAACAACCCCCCAGUGCCAUCUAAAAGGGACCGGAAGUGUGCGAUUAGGUUCAAACACCCAGGACAGGGCGAAUUCAAGUGUUUGCCAACAUCCUCUGGGCUGCCAAAGGAGGCACCAACAAUGAAGAACGAAGAUAACAAGCGGAUGAUAAUCAAAGAAGCCUCACUUUCCUGCCACACACAGAGCUAAUUCCGUGGCUGGCUGGGGUCUCCAAUGAAGGAGGAAAGAAACCUCAGAGCAAGGUAGCUUAAUGACACGCCUACUUCCAGCCACACUGACUUCUUACCUCACGCUCCCCU